rnacentral:rRNA from 1 species
UGCUUACACAUGCAAGUCGAACGAUGAAGCCCAGCUUGCUGGGUGGAAGAGUGGCGAACGGGUGAGUAACACGUGAGUAACCUGCCCUUGACUCUGGGAUAAGCGCUGGAAACGGCGUCUAAUACUGGAUACGACCUAUCACCGCAUGGUGUGUGGGUGGAAAGAUUUAUCGGUUUUGGAUGGACUCGCGGCCUAUCAGCUUGUUGGUGAGGUAAUGGCUCACCAAGGCGACGACGGGUAGCCGGCCUGAGAGGGUGACCGGCCACACUGGGACUGAGACACGGCCCAGACUCCUACGGGAGGCAGCAGUGGGGAAUAUUGCACAAUGGGCGCAAGCCUGAUGCAGCAACGCCGCGUGAGGGAUGACUGCCUUCGGGUUGUAAACCUCUUUUAGUAGGGAAGAAGCGAAAGUGACGGUACCUGCAGAAAAAGCACCGGCUAACUACGUGCCAGCAGCCGCGGUAAUACGUAGGGUGCAAGCGUUGUCCGGAAUUAUUGGGCGUAAAGAGCUCGUAGGCGGCUUGUCGCGUCUGCUGUGAAAUCCCGGGGCUCAACUCCGGGUCUGCAGUGGGUACGGGCAGGCUAGAGUGCGGUAGGGGAGAUUGGAACUCCUGGUGUAGCGGUGGAAUGCGCAGAUAUCAGGAAGAACACCGAUGGCGAAGGCAGAUCUCUGGGCCGCUACUGACGCUGAGGAGCGAAAGCAU